CUCUAGAGACUAGAAGGCACUAGUUACAGGGAAGGGUAGGUCUUGCUCCCGAUCGACCGAGGAUUGACAGGUUCUGAAAAGCUGAAGCACUAUAUGAGCUCCUGAAGGACUGAGUCUGAAAAUCUGCAGUACCACAUUAUUUGGUCCAUUCCUUUGCUGAGAUGUUAGCAUGUUGCUGAUUUUACAACCAUGAUACAGAAUGAACUUUUGUAUCGGUGUGGAACCGGUUUUAUCAACUCGUUCAUAGUUGACACGCUUGGUGUACCAAACUUUCCUACGUGGUCGAAGAUGGCACCCAAAAUAUUGCUGUUCUGUGUCGGUGCCAUCACACCGAAACGGUUGGCUAUAUGAUAGACGUCCUCUACGAUGGUAAACUGCUAACCCUAUCCUCGUUUUACGCCCGGGUAUAAGACGUCCAGAAAGUGACACAACGAAGUUUGAUCGCGAUUUUUGAGUUUGAUCGCGAUCAGUUAAUUAUUAAUAUUAAUUCAUUAAUUGAUUUUUAAGGUUCAAUUAAUGACUUUCUUGGACUUUGUGAAGGUAAUAAGCAUAUGAAAAGUACUACUAACAGGCAUUUAAAACUGUGCAGAACCAUUGUUUUGGUAGCAAAGAAUUCUAACAUCAGAAAAAAGAAUUAGCUUACUUGCUAUUGUUAUUGUAAAAUUCCCUUUAGAUUCUAUGCUAGUAUCUAUUCGGGUCUUAUCUUUAUCACCUCAUCGAUAGAAAUUUAAUUUUAAAUCCUAAUAACGAAGUUAGAUUUUCAUAGUUUGAAUAAUGAUCCCACAAUUCAAUACCUUGAGAGAACUGUGAUUAGAAACAUAGAUAAAUCCAGAUAUACCAACAGUGACAGUCCUUGGCAAGGCGGAUCGAUUGCAUUUGAACAGCCUGUAACUUCUGUAAGGAAUGGUACCAUGAAGGUUGCAUAGAUAACACUAUGGAGGAUCCAUGCUGCACUAGAAAGUUUUUCUAUGCACCAAAUAUAAAUCUGUAUUGCAUUUGCCAUUUCAAUGAAAAAUUGGUACAACAAUAGAAAUGCAGGCAAAGGGAUCAUAGCUUAACUUUCAAAUACAAACAGAAAAAAAAACUGGAAAAUGUGAGAAGAUAACUGCAGCAAGUGUGACUCGUCGAGGAAAACCAUGUUAGCAGUGCCAGUACCGAGUCUGUUUCACUUUUUCCCACAAGGUAUAUUUUGUAUUAAAUUUGAUCUUAUCAAAUUUUCGGUUUUGAAUAAAUCCAAAUAUUACGAUGAUGUAAUGAUAUGGGAGCCGAGCCUGCGAUAAGAAAACCCCUGAUCCAGCUAGUCAGCCAUCUCGAUAUUCGACAAACCAAAAGAAUUGGCAAAAAGACGACAUCAUACUUUUCCUACUUCUGAGGACAACUGUCGCCGAAAGAGAAUACCCCGUCUACAGAUUCGGAAGGUGAAAGUGAGAUCGAAAACUCUGCAGCAACGAAGUGUGUAAGAAGUUGUUAGGCAGAUUGUCUGGCACACAAGGACUAAAAGUCAAUUCAAUAAAUUGCUUCGACACAUGUUACAUACCCAUUCGCUUAAAACGAUUUUAGCUAAUCCGCUGUUAUAGACCACAAUGUGUAAAUGCGUCGGUACCGUGGAGUAAAUACUGCAGUAACCAGAACGGAAAAAAAAAUUGGCGCCAACUCGUAUAUAUCAGAUUUUGGCGCAACGCAUUCAAGAAUGGGGCCCAACACCUUGCAGAGCUGAAGAAAAUUAUAAGAAAGAAUUAGUACAAUUUGUAGAGAGCAAAACAAAUCACGGGAAGGUUUUCUACUUGUGGUGAUGUGUUUCUUGUUCUAGUGCCCAAAGGGAACUAGAUAACCACAGCAAAGGCUAAUAAAUUUAUGGUUGAUAUAAACUAUGACGACGAAGCAGAUAUGGCAGGCGAAAGCGAAACGAUUGCGCUGCUGUCGUUCGUUACUUGCGGCAUCGGUAUUACGGUCAGUAAAGCAUCCGACACAUAGAGGGAUGAUUCAACAAAUACGAAAAACAAACGGCCUUCGGUUCAGUCUUUCAAACCAAAAUAGAAUGCAGUAAUAUACUACGCGGCGUUUAGAAUCUCAGUAACCGAAUAUACUGGAGGCUAUUUCGUGCUUCAAGUCCAAGGGCAUUGCAAAAAUCCUAAGGUAAAAAAAAACUGAUGUAUAUCGGUAUCCUGUAGUACGAGAAGUCUUUGAAGAGGAAAGAGUAAGCCAGUGGCUUAAACUUAAUAAGUUAUUCGAAAAGAAAGACUGAUUUGGACUGUUAUGGCUCAGCGAACGUGAAUUUUGCCACUUAUACUUCAUUCGCGUUCAACUAUGAAUUCCUGCAGCAUCAAGGAGAAUUCAUCAAGGAAUUCCUCGGGACACAAUGAGGACAAUGCAGAAACCGACAAAACAAUCGCAACCAAUAAAUAAGCCAUCAAUGAAGAUGAUUUGUUGAACAUCAUAGGCUCACAGCUCCAAGAUACCGAAAAUUUAACAUGUACAUAUGCUAUUGGUCGUGCUUUUUUACUAUUUACUGUCUAAUUCGGCCGCCAAUUGAUUUUCUGGUGUAACCUUUCGAUUGACUUUUUCUCCCUCGCUCUACGCUUUUAAAAACGUUCGUAUUUUUGUGUUAUAAAUCACAAAACUAGAUGGCGCUGAUGUGCUUCAGUAUUUUGCCGUGCUUGACGUGUGAAACCGUGUUCCAAUAUUUGUUAACUGUUAUACAUUCUUAUUGAAAAGGGAGAUUAAAUCGAAUGAUUUGAUGUCUACUGUUCAGUGUUUUCAUUCUUUAGUGUGUUGUUUAAGUGAAACACAUUAACUGGAUUAUUUUUGUGUGGAAUGAGUGAUCUUGUGAUCAGCUAUGCCAGCUGACAAAUCCAAAAUCUAUUACAUUUGCUUUCCAUCAUGCAAAUCUAUUACUCAUUGUGAGGUAUUAAUUUUGACAAUCAGAAUCCAAUUGGAUGCUGAACGAACAGAAAGUUUACAAAUGACACAAAAAUCACAUGGGUUGGAAUACCAUCACCUCAUUCUGCUACUCUUUAUCGGUUCAUCAUAUCCUGUCAGUGCUGUACUGACAAGUGCAACAUAUGUUGUGUUACCAACUGGAUGGAUUGGAAUACCUCACAUCAUUCAUAUACUCUUUGCUUGCUCAUCUCAUCCGACACAUAUCUUCGCCUCGCCCGUCGCCCCUUUCUCGCUUCACCCGCCAACACAUGUCUUCGCCUUGUCCGUCACUCCGUCUUCGCCUUGUCCGUCUUCGCCUCGCCUGUCACCGCGUCUUCGCCUCGCCUGUCACCCCGUCUUCGCCUCGCCUGUCACCCCGUCUUCGCUUCGCACGUCGCUCCGUCAUCGCCUCUUAGUCGCCCCGUCAUCUUCUUUGUCAUCAUCAUCAUCUUUGUGGUAUCGUUGUAUUUUGUAAUGUGCAAUUAUGUAGUGUUAAUUAACCCGUUGGCUGCCACCCACUUUGAUCCCCUUUUUUUUUAAAGCUUGUUAGGGUCCGGCAGCGCUGUUCUGCCCAAUGGUCUAUAUGCCAUGGGUGGGACAGUUGCACAAGCCGUGUGGCUCAAAGUCGAUCGUCGAGGCAAUGCACCAGUAGGGACUUCCCUCUUCUAGAUGUGGUGGUGGUUGCCUGGGGUGUGCAUUCCCAUAACGGCUUCCAUCAUCAUAUCAGCCCGGACUUGUCUUCGGACAGGUCUCCCUUGGUCGCUAUCCUUUCGAUAGUGAUGUAGCUAGUGUAGAUUUAGUGGCGUGGCAGCCAACGGGUUAGUUUUAUUUAUGUAUGUUUUGU